GCCGCCAUUCCUCUGCGAGCUGUAUGCGGACAUGGGGAAGUUGGAAGGGGAGGCAGGAGGCGAGUUUCUGGAACUCGUGCAAUAAUCCGGCCAAGGCUGAAGGUCUGCCCAAAGAUUGAACCGCUUAAUCUAUGACCAGUUUGAGGAGCUCAGAUCCAAGGAGAGGAGAAAGCAUCACUUUCACUAAUGGCUUGCUAGUGCAGAAAUGAACAGCAGUGCUCACAAGAACCCAGCUGAGGACCUACCACCCUUGAUGCUCUCCAGGCGAACAGGGAGGCCUGACUGCGCAGCAGACAA